ACACUAUAGUAUUUAUGGUAGUCCUGUUUGGUAGGGUGAGUACGGUAGUUUCUAGCCUACGUGUCCUUUAUGAAUGGGAUGGCAUUAGCUUUGGAGUAAUGGCAGGUGCAUGCUGAUUGCCAGAUGAGUGGUGGUGAUUUCUUGCUUGGAGACUGCAGUGAUGGUUUGUGCCAGCUUGGGAAAACAGUUGUCGUAGCGGUUGUUAGGUAUGUGACAAUGUUGGAUGUAAUACUUUUUAAAAGUGUGAUAUUGUGUAUAAUCAUGUGCAUUUAAAUGUUUUGUGCAGAUGGCAAUGAUGGUUUGUGCCAGAGUUGGAAAACUCUUGUCUAGCUGGUACUAGGAGCUGGCCUGUGUCACUGUUUUGAAUUACUGUUUUGGUCUGGUGUAAAGUAUUGCACAUUUACACGUGAGAUAUUGGGGGUUGUUGAACCCUUAUGGUAUCAACUUGCUACCAGCUAAGCCUAUUUGUGUUUUAGAACUUUUGAUGAGUUGUUAAUAAAUUUCGGUUACCUGGAUGAUUAAGUGGAGAAAUUUAUUGCUUGACAUUGAUAGGCUUUACAGUUUGGCGUCACGAACAGGAUCUUUUAUUUGGUAGCAAGUUGAUGUAGAGUAAGGUGAGGUUUCAAAACAGUGACAUAGGCUGAAGAGUCGAGGAGUGUGGAACAAGAGACUUUAGUGAAACUGCUUUGGAUAUAAAGACUGUUGUUGUAUGACUAACUACCAAACGAUGGAGCAAGAGCUUGCUGCGUUGCGGGAAAGACUGGAUAAGGAAAAAGCAGCGAUGGAUGAACUUAAACAACAGAAUGAAGCAUUGACUGCCCAGUUACAACAAGUAACAACAACAGAUCCUAUGGAAACUUCACAUUCCCCUUCCGAUGUAGGCCAGGCUUAUUCAGCAGCCUCACCGGCCUCCACAAGUAAAGUUACGACAUCUGUUGAAGUGAUUUAUAUGCCUAAAGAUAAAAAGAUGGUAAUAUUUUCUGGUGAUCCAGGUACUAUCUCCUAUUAUGAUUGGAUUGACGAAGUGCAGAACUCUAUGAAUUAUCGACAAUAUAGAGAAAGAGAACAGGCAGCAUUUCUGUAUGAUCAUUUGGAGGGGGGAGCUAAACAGGAGAUAAGAUAUAGCACACCUGAGGUACGCAGGAGCCCUACAUUGAUUCUAGAGGUUUUAAAGGAGGCGUAUGGCCUUACUAUCCCUAUUCUCUGACUGCUUCUCAAAAGCGUUUUUUUGACAGAAAACAGAAGGCAGGUGAGGGGUUGCGGGAAUUUUCUCAUUCACUGUUAUCUUUGGCAGGGGAUAUAAAUCGUUGUAAUGGAGGAGU